rnacentral:tRNA from 1 species
GUUCGCGUGGUGUGAGAGGUUAGCCAGUGCUCUGCAAAAGCACGUAUGUCGGUUCGAGUCCGACCGCGAACUCCA